GGUAGGCAGGUAGAGAGAAGCUUAGCUUCUCUUGAGAGCGGCGGACGGGUGAGUAAUGCCUAGGAAUCUGCCUGGUAGUGGGGGAUAACGUCCGGAAACGGACGCUAAUACCGCAUACGUCCUACGGGAGAAAGCAGGGGACCUUCGGGCCUUGCGCUAUCAGAUGAGCCUAGGUCGGAUUAGCUAGUUGGUGGGGUAAUGGCUCACCAAGGCGACGAUCCGUAACUGGUCUGAGAGGAUGAUCAGUCACACUGGAACUGAGACACGGUCCAGACUCCUACGGGAGGCAGCAGUGGGGAAUAUUGGACAAUGGGCGAAAGCCUGAUCCAGCCAUGCCGCGUGUGUGAAGAAGGUCUUCGGAUUGUAAAGCACUUUAAGUUGGGAGGAAGGGCAGUAAAUUAAUACUUUGCUGUUUUGACGUUACCGACAGAAUAAGCACCGGCUAACUCUGUGCCAGCAGCCGCGGUAAUUA
rnacentral:rRNA from 1 species